GACGAACGCUGGCGGCGUGCCUAAUACAUGCAAGUAGAACGCUGAAGGAGGAGCUUGCUCUUCUGGAUGAGUUGCGAACGGGUGAGUAACGCGUAGGUAACCUGCCUGGUAGCGGGGGAUAACUAUUGGAAACGAUAGCUAAUACUGCAUAACAGUAGAUGUUGCAUGACAUUUACUUAAAAGGUGCAAUUGCAUCACUACCAGAUGGACCUGCGUUGUAUUAGCUAGUUGGUGGGGUAACGGCUCACCAAGGCGACGAUACAUAGCCGACCUGAGAGGGUGAUCGGCCACACUGGGACUGAGACACGGCCCAGACUCCUACGGGAGGCAGCAGUAGGGAAUCUUCGGCAAUGGACGGAAGGCUGACCGAGCAACGCCGCGUGAGUGAAGAAGGGUUUCGGAUCGUAAAGCUCUGUUGUAAGAGAAGAACGAGUGUGAGAGUGGAAAGUUCACACUGUGACGGUAUCUUACCAGAAAGGGACGGCUAACUACGUG
rnacentral:rRNA from 1 species